AGUGAACGCUGGCGGUAGGCCUAGCACAUGCCAGUCGAACGGCAGCACAGUAAGAGCUUGCUCUUACGGGUGGCGAGUGGCGGACGGGUGAGGAAUACAUCGGAAUCUACUUUUUCGUGGGGGAUAACGUAGGGAAACUUACGCUAAUACCGCAUACGACCUACGGGUGAAAGCAGGGGAUCUUCGGACCUUGCGCGAUUGAAUGAGCCGAUGUCGGAUUAGCUAGUUGGCGGGGUAAAGGCCCACCAAGGCGACGAUCCGUAGCUGGUCUGAGAGGAUGAUCAGCCACACUGGAACUGAGACACGGUCCAGACUCCUACGGGAGGCAGCAGUGGGGAAUUUUGGACAAUGGGCGCAAGCCUGAUCCAGCCAUACCGCGUGGGUGAAGAAGGCCUUCGGGUUGUAAAGCCCUUUUGUUGGGAAAGAAAAGCAGCAGGUUAAUACCCCGCUGUUCUGACGGUACCCAAAGAAUAAGCACCGGCUAACUUCGUG
rnacentral:rRNA from 1 species